UUGUUCUUGGGUUGCUGAUCGAUGUUCCCAAAACGAAGUCCCGUCCCAACCGCAGAAGGAUGCCCAAACGAGUUGGAAGAAACUGGGGCGCCUGAGUUGGUCAUGUGCAUUGUGGUCUGGGUGUGUUGGUGCUGGAGCGGCAGCCGGGGGGACACUGGCGCAUCCUCCACACCGUACUCGAGCUCAUUCUACAAAAAAUCAUAAACAAAAGGGUGUGUUUCAUCAAAUCCCCCAGCUUUAAUACAGAGGGAAAAGGUUAACUAAUUGAAUCUUCUAUUAUUGUAUUUCUUUUUCUUAGGCUAAAUUGUAAAUGUGUAACAAAGACAGAAUGCAGGUCAUAAGCCUAAUAUUAUUCACAAUGGAUGUGGUUCUACUCUCUUUAGUGAACAAUACACGUACAAAAAAGGCAAUUCUUCAUUCCAAGAUUCGGCUCUUUUAACCCUAUAAUUACACACCAAAUUCUAAGAGUGUAAUAAAAAGUAGACUAAUUCCCAUAUUGUCUCUAGACUUCUCCACUUAUUCGAUUGACAAUAGAAUACAAAAUGAGAUAGAGUAACUUACCCGGUUAACCUCUCUCUUACAUCCCCUUUAAAUUAUAUUUGAUUAAUCUCAUGUUGAGAGAUUGAUAUAUGUUUCUCAUGGAUCAUAAAUUUCUUUCUCUCAUUUAUUCUCUUCCAUUCUCUAUUUCUUUUCAUGUUAUUCGCAAAACAAAAAAUUUUAAUUCAAGUAAAAUUUUUGGUUAAAAAGAAGAGAGAUGAAAAAAGUUUAUACAUGCAUAAUAUAUAUAUAUAUGUAUGUAUAGAUAUUGAUUUUAUAUAUUAAGAAUUAACUUCAUAAUAUAAUAUUUUUUUACUUAUAAAUUCUACAUAUUUCAAUCAUGAAUGUUAUUAAUAAACAAAUUAAAAAAUUACAUAUUAAAUAUAAAUCAUCAAAAGAUACCCAUAUAAUGCGAAAAACAUGAAAAAGAUUUCAUAUUUUUUUAAACAUCAAGAUACAAUAUAUUUUUAUUUUUAAAGAAUAGUUUCCACUCCAUUUUUAUUUCCUUCCACAAAUGAAACAUGUGUAGUAUAAAUUAUCAUAUUGGUCUUUAUUCACAAUUUUGUAUAUUAUAUAUAUGUCUACUAAACUUAUGUAUGUUUAUAGCUAUAUAUAAAUAUAUAUAUAUAUGGGUUUAUACAUGUGGGUGUGUGAAUGAAAAGUUGGAAAAUAGUCUCUACUGUUCUUUAUUGAAGAACGAUAGCUAGGGUUUCCAUUUGUCUCCCAUUCUCUGUAUUGUUUUGUUUCUCUUUCUUGGGGACUUACCUUUGUUUGUGAAUCGGAACCUAUGCUCAAUUAGCUUAAGAAUUACCCAGUAGUUUGUUUGAAUCGGGGGGGAGUUUGGGUGGGAGAGCCUAGGAUUUGUGAUUUGGGGGGUUUUGGUGUUGUGGAAGCUGAUUGGUAUCUGGGUUGGGAGGAAUCUAGGGUUUGUGAUAUGGGGUUUUGGUGUGGUUGAGGUGGGGAGGGAAAGAUUGAAUCUUGGGGAUUGUUUUUGUUGGUGGAGUUUUGAAAAUGGUGGGGAAUCAUGGAUCGGGUGUCGUCUGAUUGCUGCUUUUCAGAUGGCGAGCAACCGUCCGAUUUGAGGGGUGGGGGCUUUUGUCUGGAAACUCAGAGCUGCAAGCGGGCAGAGGCAUCCUCAGCAGCCCCUUCUUCUGGACCCACCACCCAGUCAAGCAAGCAACCUCGUAUCUCCUCUUCUUCUUCUUCUUCGACGAUCCCAGUUUCAUCGAACCCCAACGCCCACGCUGCAGUGAAAAAUUAAUUUUUGAGGGGAGCAGAGCUACACUUUGACCCAAGCCAGCACAUUGACCAGCAGAAUAUAAGGAAAUUUCCCGAAAAAUAGGCAAAAACCCGAUAUUCGCCAAUAUUUUGACGAUAACUUUGAAAAAAGGGGCGAAAUUCCUUCCAACCGAUUAUCGGUCCUUAAUGUCGUAUUCAGUUUCACUGAUAACUGAAAAUAUCGGCGAAAUUUCACCAAUAAAAAUCGACAUUUCAAUCACUGUUGAAGAAAAGCACCCAAACAAAGGGAGUCAAGAUGUGGGCAACCUACUUGCUUUGCAACCCAAAUACAUUGAAGAACAUUAUUAUACUUCCUAGGGGAAUAAGCUCUCCCUCGUCCAAAUUGACCCAAGCCAGCUCCUUAGGAAGGAAGCAAGUCAUCAAUAAGAGAAUAAAAAAUUUGGUACCCUCUCCACUCCUCACACAUGGCAACCUUGAAAGAACCCUACUUCCACACUUCCAUCACUACAAUGAAAUGAAAAGGAGAAAGAUAGAACCUUGUAUUAUGCCCUUGCAACUAUUUAAGAAACCAAACUAAGUCCUGUUAAAAAGAACAAAGUAUGUAACCCAAAAGAUACAAAUCCACAUCCAAAUGAGCUGCCUCAUAGGGGAGAUUAACUAUAAAAGGAAAUUCCAACUAUCAUGAUUGUAAGUCUUUUCAAUGAACUGCUUAUACACUAAUCCUGGUAGUCCUCUUCUCAAACAAGAACCUAAUGGCACCAUCCAAAAUUUAAUGGCCUCCACUACAGCAUCAUGUCAAUUUGUUAAAUUUGCUGAUGAGCUCCAUUAUCCUAUUAGCUAGGACCUUAGAAAGUCGAAUUUGUACCACUCCUGACUAAUGUUGAGAUACAAGACAAAAAUGAUGAAGGUAAGAUUUUAGGCCAUGUGCCAUGCCUCAACACCACCAUAUCAAAAAAAUCGGGUCAAACCAGAAUCUAUGUCACUACUUCCCUAAUAAUGGACCCUUUUCCUUUUUUUCUUUUUGAAUCAGAACCUAUCAGUAGUUUUUUAAGCACACAAAGGACCUGUCUGGAUUGGCUUCUACAAAGCCAAAAACUGAAAGAGCUUAGUUGCCUAUUUGGGCAAUUUAUUAACAUAGCUUCUGGUUUAGAAAGAGCUUAAUGUGGAAGCAAGGACAAAGUUGGUUCUUAUGAAAGCCCUCUUCAUCUUGUGCAGGAAAUUAUUAUUGAAACCUUUCAAAAUUAUGGCUUUGGAUGUGACUCAGCAUUUCAAACCAUGCAUUACACUAUGGGGUUGAUUAACCUUAAAAGAAAGAAGAAAUAACCAUCAAGAAAGUAAUAGUAUAUCAUCAUUGCAAUGACAAUGAAAAACUAUAAAGAGCAGUUAUAAAAGAAAUUUGAAAGUUAAGAUACCUGCAGGUAUGCCACAAUAUCUACGGUUGUCACUCUUGAUCCCUCUUCCUGUUGUCUCAAAACCCAUUGAUAAAGUUUCUCCUACCAAAACCAGAAGCAAAAACACACAAGCAGGGAACCCAGAAAGAGGGGGAAAAAAAAAACAAAUGGUUAGUGUUAAAUAAAUGGAUAUAAAGGAAAACCAAACAGGUUACAUCUAGCAAUAUAGAAAUAGAAGGAUAAAGGAAAAUGCUCAGUUCAGACCGAAUGGAUACCACCUUUGGCCUUUUCCAUCAUUCAUCAAUCCUACAGCCAAUAAGUUCCAGAAAGAUGAGAGGACCAAAAAAGAUCUAUGGAAAUGAUCUAGAUGUGAGAGCCACAAAACUAGGAUACAUGAUACCAUUGUUCAAUUUGAAGUCCAAAAGACCACUAAAUUUUCAAAAGGAAGAAAAUUAGACAGAUGACCUCCUGGAAAUCUGUGUUUCACUGUUUAGAGAAGUAUUGGAAAAAUUCAGAGUGAUCCACAGGUACCACAUUGAGAAAAACAAAUACUACAUGAAGAUUCAAAGAAUCUGAAGCCACCCACUAAAACAAGAGAUCGAGCCUUAGUUUAAUAACUAGGGAGUAGAGUGUCUGUAAGAUCAGGCCAUGCGGAUGUUUAGGUGGAAGUAAAUUAAAAGCUUUGAGCAUUGAUAUUGAAGUCCAGUCAAAAUCCUCAAUUAGUGAAUAAAAGUAAUAGAUUUCCCAUAAAUUGAAACACAUAAGAUAAACCCUUUUCCAAAAAGAAAGCAUGUUACCCUGUAUUUGGGGUUUGGCCCACCAUAGUGGAUAUUAGAAACAAAGAAUGAAUGCAAUAUUUGAAGUUCUACAGAGUUAAGCCCUCAAUGAGUGUUCUUAUCUGUUUAAACUUAACUGAAAUAUAGAUGAUAAUUGAGGUUGACCACAUCUUUUUGACUCCCAAUCUCUAGGCUUGGGAUUCCCAUAUUUGUAAAAUAGCACUGUGUUUUUUGGCAAUCAAUCCAUCCAUUCCCUACAUCAUCUCCCAAGAUGAGCGUACUUAUCUAAAGCUCCAUCAAGAUGAACCUUACAAAACGAAACCAUCCAGUAUGCAUAGCAUCGAUAUCCCUUUAUGAGGACAUACCCUAUAUCAAGGAACCAACCACAACCACAUGUUCCUCUGAUUGAAAUUCAUGGAAACCUUUUACAGUAGAUAUACUGGAUGAGCAGAUUUCAGAAUCUUGUAUAUGUUGCCAGGAAUUAGCUAUGAAAUUUUGAAAUAUUUUCAAAAUUUCCUUCUAAUAUGGCACAAGCAAGUAAACUCACGAACUUGAUUCUAUGAUAAGGAGCCAUAAACCCUUGAAAUACAAGGCCUCCAAUUGGUUAAAGGACCCAAUUUUGGGCUCCAUGAAACUCUAGGUUUAGUGCUCUCUUCUCUUGUAUUUCAAGGCUUAUGGCUCUUUAUCACAGACUUGAGUCCGUGAAAUCAUUGCUUUGUAACAAAAUACUGAUGUCUCCUCAGCUAACAAAUAAUAGCAAUGCAUGCUCAUUGUUGUCCAAGCUCAAAAUUUCAGAUACAUCAUAAAAGCCAAGUUCCCUCUUUAUCUUUGCAUCAUGUCCGCUUAAAGAUAAAUAGAAGCACUUCACUCUUGCUAUGUAUCCAAACUCAAAUAAGAAAUAAGCAAUCAUUAAAAGAUUUUUUAUUUCAUUUUUUUUUAUGGUCAAUUACAUGAGACGAGUUUGAAUUUUAAAAUUAACUUGCACACUUUGAGGCAUGUUAGUGGCAAACGCUCUUAACAAGGCACUUGACCUUUUUGCUAUCCUUAGAUUGAUCUCAGAAUCAAAUGUCAUCAAAUUUGUAAUCAACUAGAGAAGAGCCGUAAUGACUCUGCUCCUGAUUCAGAGUACAGUUCCGGCUUAAGUUCAAGGCAACUUGCAACAGUUUUAGGCCCUUAGCAAUGUUGAACUCCAAUGAGACUUCAUACAUAAAUUCUGACAAUUCUAAUCUAGAUUCAGAAUAUGUUACUGAGGAUGCUACACUGCAUUCCAUGUCAAAAAUUUUGUAAGAAAGUAAAAAGAGAAUUAAGACAAAAAUUACAAUGUCAAAUUAGCAUUGUACUAUAAACCCUUUGUCUCAGUAUUGGAGGUUUUAUGCCACCCAGAGGGAAUUCCAUUCCCCAUGUAUGUUAAAUAAUAAAUGUUUUAAAUGGUGUAAGUCUUCCAAGAAUGCUUAUGCACCCUCAACCUAAAUUGUUGUUCAUGAGAUGAGGACUGGUUAAACAAGGCAUCCUGCAUUUUUUUUUUGGUUCUGCUACACUUUUCCCAAACUGUCAUGGAUGUUUGGAUUUUCUUUUCUCGAAUAAGCACUGCCUUGGGUUUAUAAUUGAUCAAGAAAGUAGUGAUAACAUUCAUCAAUCUGAUGUAAGUAGUGUUAAGAAUGAGAGCACAAAUGCCUCAAGAUAAUUCUUCAAAAGGAUCAUUCUCCCAGUGGCAUUUUUCUAUUUUCUACUCUGUGAUGUGCUUCCAAUUCAAUAGUCAGUCAUAUGCCAUCACAGUUUAGACAAAGAAACAUUGAGAACUCUAUCAAAUGAACCAAAAUCAAGCAUUCCAAUUCUUGCACCAGCGGUAAUCCAUGUACAAGUAUGUGCCCUAUGAAAGAAUAAAUAAACUUCAUUAUGCUAGUAGCAACACCCUAGACCCCUUCACAAUAUGUAAACUAGAUGAACAGAUAUGAAGAAUAUUGCAAAUGUUCCCAAAUUUUGAAUUUACAUGGAAAUUUGAAACAUCGUCUAAUUUUCCAAACUUAAAACAUUGUUCAAUUAGCAUUAUCAUGGACUUGAUUGGUAAUAAGACCAAAGACUCAAGUAAAAAAGCUCAAGGGUGGGAUUAGUGUGUAAGCUAGACACAGAAAAAGCUUAAGAUCAUGUAAAUUGGAGGUUCCUUCUUUCAAUCAUGGAAAAAACGGGUGGAAGGAAAGGAAAAGGGGGGUUGGUGUUCUUGAGCUUUGAGGGAAGGUUAUGGAAGGAAGGCUAUUAGGAGGGUGAGAUUUUAGGAGGAUAGGUGGUGGUGUGAGGAUUCCUUGGAUAAGGCUUUCCCAAAGUUGCUCUCAAUAGCCUCUACUAAAGAUGCUUGGGUAGACUACAUGUGGGAGUAGUUUGGGGAAGUAGGUUGUUCAAUACUAAUGUUCACAAGACAGAAUAAUGAUUGGGAAAUGAAAAAGGUGGGAGAUUUUUUCAAAAGAUAGCAAAGGCAAGCGAUUAGAAAGGGUGUUUAGGAUGUCAUGACUUGGCAAGUGUCAAAGGGAGGUACCUUUACGGUUAAAUCAUUUUACUCCUCCUUAGCAUGUUGCAAUCUGAAGGUGUUCCCUCAAGCAUUGUGUGGAACCCUUAGGUCUCGAGGAGGGUUAAUUUUUUGGCUUGGGAAGUUGUAUGGAAGAAUUAUAAUUCUAGAUCAGCUAAAAAGGAAGGGUUGGUGUUUACCGAGUAGGUAUUAUUUAUGUAAAGAAGAGGAGGCAUUGGCAAAUCAUAUACUCCUUCACUACCCCAAGGUAGCCAUGCUUUGGCAACUUAUUUUUGCUCUUUUUGGUGUUCAGUGCAUGAUGUCAUCUUCAAUCAAGGAUGCCCUCCUUUAGCUAGUAUGGUGCCUUCGUAGGGAAGAAAAAGAAGAAGGUGUGGAAAGCAACUUCUUUGUACUUAUUUUGGAUCUUAUGGAAUGAGAGAAAUUGAAGAGCUUUUGAUGAUUCUGAUUUAGCGAACCAAACUAUUUUACGGUCCUUUAUGUGCAUGUUCUUGGAAUGGGUCAAAGUGCAUUUAGGUUUUAAUUCAACGUCUUUAUUUGAUUUUAUUAAUUGGUUGAGCUACAAGUGAGGGAAAGGUGUUUUUUGUGUAUCUCUCUUCUUUUUUGGCCUUAGGUGCCUUGAUACACGUAUAUUUUUGGGCGCCCUUCUUUAGACACUGUUAAUACAAUUGCUUUUACCUAUCAAAAUAAUAAUAAUAAUAAUAAUAAUAAUAAUGGAAAAAAUGGGUUUUGGACCAAGAUGGAUAAGGUGGAUUUGUUGGUUUUUUCCCCUUAUUUGUUUGUUCUAGUUAUGAUGGCUUUGAGCUGCCUAAUCUCUAAGACAACGCAAGAAGAGUCUUUUUAAGUGGCUUUAAGGUUGAGGGCAGGGGGAGUCGGAUUUGAAGUCUUGCACCUUUUGCUUGCAAGUGAUACCUUGUUUUUUUCCUAAAGCCAAUGUUGAGCAAAUGAAAUAUUGGAAAAGAGGCAUGUUAUGUUUUAAGCUUUUAUCAAGAUUGAAAGUUAAAUAGCAAAAGAGCGAGAUAGUUCUGACUCGAGAAGUGGAAGAUUUGGACAUUUUGGAAUCUUUGUUUGGGUGCAAGGUUGGGAGCUCCCUUCCAUCUAUCUUAGGUUUCCUUUGGGAGCAUCUCAUAAGUCUUGUGUAGUGUGAGAUUCAGAUAAAAAGAGGUUCAAAAGGAGGUUAACCCCUUGGAAGAAAGGGUACUUAUCAAAGGUAGGGAGAUUAAUCCUCAUAAAAAAUACUCUCACAAGCCUUCCCAUAUAUUUCAUAGCCCAUUUUGUGAUGCCCAAGAAAAAGAGAAGAUUAGAAAAAUAUCGAAUUUCUUGUGGGAGAGUCGUUCUGAGGAUAGAAAAUUGCAUCUCAUGAAUUGGAGAACAAUAUGUAAGAUAAGAUGAAUGGAGGAUUCAGAAUUAGAAAGUUGCAUGUUUCUAAUAGAGCUUUGUUAGGCAAAUGGUUGUGGAGAUAUGCCCUUGGGUAUAACUACCUGUGGAGAAAAAAUAAUCUAGGGCAAAUAUGGAAAGGUGGGGAUGGAUGAUGGUGCACUCUAGAGGUGACAGAGGCUUUUAGUAUGCGUUUAUGGAAAGCAAUUAGAAAAGGAUGAGAGAAAUUCAGCCUUAGAAACUCUAUUUUGGUUAGGAAUGGCCUUAGCACCAAAUUCUCGUUGGAUAGAUGGGUAGGCGAGCGUGCUCUAAAAGAGUUGUUCCCUCAGAUGUUCAUGAUUGACUCUAAUAGGAAUGCAACAGUACCUCACUUUUGGGUGGCAAUGGAGGAAGAAAGCUCUCGGUCCCUCCCUUUUAAAAGAUAUUUUCAAAGUUGGGAGUUUGAAGUUGUGAUGCAUGGGGUAAGAUCCAAACCAUUGUUGUUCUUAUGAGGAGAGGAUGACUGAUCACCAACGAGUAUAGCCUUUGUAAAUUCGGUGAGGAAUUGGCAAACCACAUUCUUAUCCAUUGUGAUAGAACCAGAAAGUUGUAGAACAUGUUAGCAAUUUUCAGGCUACAUGAGAGUUCACAGAUUCUAUGAAAGAACUGUUAUGAGUUGGAAGGUGUAGGGCAUGGACAAAAGACAGAGGAGGAUGGCUCUUCUUUGUUUGUUUUGGUUUGUGUGGCAUGAAAAAAAAUAGAAGGAUCUUCAGCGGGGAAGAGCUCAACAGCCAAAAGCUGAAAGAGAUCCUUAUUAGGUCUCUUAUGGAAUAGUAUAUAGCUCUAUAGGAGAACUAUUGGGUUUUAUUGAUAACUUGAUCUGUAGAUAGUGGUUUUUUCUUGUUCUUGUCUUUAGUGCUGAUUCAUUCUUAUCAAACCACCCCCCAUCCCACAAAACAAAAAAAAAAAAAAUCAUGGACUUGAAUGUUAAAUAAGGAACCAUAAACCCUUGAAAUAAGAGACUUCUAUUAGUUAAAUGAUAUACCGUGCUACUAUGUGACCAUAGACCCAAUAUUUGCUUGUCUUUUUUUUUUUUUUUGAUAAAUAAAGAGAUUGUAUUAAAAACCACCAAAGCAAUGGCUAAAAGUACAAGAAGGAGAAAAGAAAAAGAAAGAAAAACGCCCCACGCUCCCUAGCAGAAAGCCAAGGAUCGAAGAGCAACCCUACCCACACCCUUAACGGGAAGCCACCCACCCAACAAAAUCAACUAAGGUCGAGGGACCAUCUUUUAUAGACCUCUUUGUCUCCAACCAAAGAAAAUAAACAAAAGAAGCCUUAAGUCUUUGGAUUGACAGCUCCUCUUCCUCAAAAGCAACUUUGUUCCUUGUCUUCCAAACCGUCCAAAAAAGGCACAAAGGACUUGCUUUCCAAACACCCUUCCUCUUCUUUCCCACAAAAGACCCAUUCCACCCCGAAAGCGUCUCCUUAACCGUGGCUGGCAGCACCCACUGCACCCUGAACAUUGAGAAAAGCAGCACCCAAAGAGUUCUUGUCUUAUCACAAUGGAGAAGAAUGUGAUCAAUUGAUUCUUCAUGUCUUUGACAAACGUAACAUCUGUUCGCUAGAGCCCAACCUCUCCUUUGAAGCUGAUCCAAGGUGAGAGUCUUUCCCCACGUUGCUUCCCACCCAAAAAAACUCACUCUAGGCUGCACCGUAACUUUCCAAAUAGCCGACGAAGGGAAGGAGAUUGGAUGGCCUGAUACUAAUGAUUUGUAGAGAGACUUAACCGAAAACUUCCCACAGUUAGUCUCUCUCCAAAUCACCCUAUCAUCCACCCCUUGCUGAAUUUGCUUCCUAUUUAAGGCCACAAAAAAACUGCACACCCCUUCCAACUCCCAAUCAUUAAACGGGCUAGAAAACAACGGGCUCCAACUUCCCCCACCNNNNNNNNNNNNNNNNNNNNNNNNNNNNNNNNNNNNNNNNNNNNNNNNNNNNNNNNNNNNNNNNNNNNNNNNNNNNNNNNNNNNNNNNNNNNNNNNNNNNGGGGCUCCAAUUUCCCCCCCCCUCAUUGCCCCUUAAAAAACCCUUAACCCAAGCAUCCUGGGAAACCCCCAAUGCAAAUAAAGAGGGAAAAGAAGCCCAAGGGGGUUCUUCCCCCCCCCAAAUUUUUUUCCAAAAUUUUUUCCUUUUCCCUUUCCCCCCAAAGAAAAAAAGCCUAUUUUUCAAAAUUUCCCUUUUUUUCCUAAGGGUUUUCCGCAAUCCCCCCCCGGGCCCCCCCCCCCCCCCCUUUUUGCUUCCUUUGAACUCCAUCCCCCUUGCUCCUCCCCAUAUUUUCCCCUAAUCACUUGGUUCUAAAAAGCCUCUCUCUCAAUAGAAAAUCUCCAACUCCAUUUACAUAAAAGAGCCUUAUUGAGGAUAGAAAGAUUCUUGACCCCCAACCCCCCAUUAUCCUUCUCAAGGCAAACCAACUCCCACCUAACAAGAUGAAUCUUCCUCUCAAGAGGCAGCCCCCCCCCCUUGCUUGUCUUUUAUUUCAAAUAUAUAGCGUUCCUUAUCACGAACUCAAGCCUAUGAGACUUAAGUGUACCAGAAAUUCACUUGUUUUCCUUCUGCUAAAAACAAUUCAUGAUUUGGCCCUUCUAAUUUGCUUGACAUUGUCAAACAUGCCAUUACACUUUCCAACCUUUACCACGUACUCAACCACCAAUCAUAGAGGAUUGUCCCUCCAAUAAUCCAAUAGGUUAGAAAUAAAAUAGGUGUGUGGAAUAGAUAAAACAUAAAAAAAUUUAAAAAUAAAGAGCAAAGAUACAUUUCCAAUUGUUCAUCCUCGUAACAGCCUUGAACAUUAGAUAGGAAUCCCUAAAUUAAGAGAGAGAAAGAAUAUCGAUACUGCACAACAAAGGAGAAGCACCACAUAGUCUCCAGGAUCCUUUUUGGGAGAAAAAAAGGGAAACCCAUUAAAGUGAGAGUUAACCAUAAAAUCAGUAUGACUACUAGUUAUCUACCAUAAUAAAAAUUUAAAAAAAAAAAAAAUCCUUAGUUAAUCUGAGUAGGACUGAUUAAAUGAUAGGUCAAAAGGGUACGAAUCAGAAAUCCUGACAAAGAAGUUUACCAAAAAAAUUUCCCUGAAGCCAAUAAUUGAAUCCAAUUUUUCCUUCAAACUGUUUUAGUUAUCCACGCAGAGUACGCAAAAGUUAGUUGUAUAAAUUCUUAUUGAAUUUAUCACGUUCAAAUUGCCAUUUUUCCAUUGGGCUUCUCUAAAAUUUUCUUAAAGAGGCCGUUAUCUAAGAAUCAGGAAUUUCACGGCCGUUAUCCUACUUCCAAUCAAUGUAGAAGUGAAAUUAGUUCAAACAAAAUAAAAAAACGUUUCGUUCUGGGGAAAAUAUAGGGGGGGGAAGGGAAUAUUGAGGAAGUAAGGCAAGCAAACAAAAAAGAUAACGCCUAACUCCACAACCACUACACGCCAUGUUUGGUCGAUGAGAAAAAGCAUGAAAAUGAAGGAAAACAGAUGGGCUUUUCUUCCAUUUCAAAAAAACAGAUCCUCCACCCAAAUCAAACAAACCCAGCAACCAAAUUCCAAAACUUUCCCCUCCUUUCCCUCAUUUUCUCACCGAGAAUCCAACCAAAACAACAAAGAACACCCAAACCCGAACAAAUUCACGAACCAAAACGCAUUCCAGAUAAAUCUCAUCAGAUCAAAACACCAAAAAGAGGGAAGAGAGCUCAUACCAGCGCGUGACGCUCACCGGCUUGGAAAGACAAACGUUGCUGGUUCAUGGCCUGCGUGUAGAGCUGCGAAAGCGAGUUGGCAGCACUGCAGAAGGAGGUAUACAUGGUGCGAUCAACUUCGUCGAGGCGCGUAGCGUCAGAUUUCCUCUUCUUCGCCAUGGAAAUCGGAACCCUAGACGCUUC
rnacentral:lncRNA from 1 species